AGAACGAACGCUGGCGGCAUGCCUAAUACAUGCAAGUCGAACGAACACUUCGGCGUUAGUGGCGCACGGGUGCGUAACGCGUGGGGAUCUGCCCUUGGGUUCGGAAUAACAGUUGGAAACGACUGCUAAUACCGGAUGAUAUCGAAAGAUCAAAGAUUUAUCGCCCAGGGAUGAGCCCGCGUAGGAUUAGCUAGUUGGUGAGGUAAAGGCUCACCAAGGCGACGAUCCUUAGCUGGUCUGAGAGGAUGAUCAGCCACACUGGGACUGAGACACGGCCCAGACUCCUACGGGAGGCAGCAGUAGGGAAUAUGGACAAUGGGCGCAAGCCUGAUCCAGCAAUGCCGCGUGAGUGAUGAAGGCCUUAGGGUUGUAAAGCUCUUUACCCGAGAUGAUAAUGACAGUACCGGAGAAUAAGCCCGGCUAACUCCGCGCCAGCAGCCGC
rnacentral:rRNA from 1 species